rnacentral:lncRNA from 1 species
ACUCAUGAGGGAGAAAGUGUUAUUCAUUGAAGCUACUGCCAACUCCCAACAAUACUAACGUAUGUUUUGUCCACUGUGCUUUUCUAUCCCCGCAUUCCAAGCUGGUGGUCGGGCAUGCAGGAGUCCCUUUCCUAACACGCCUUCUCAGGGUGAAAAAGCAAUCACUCACUGGUUGUCUGUGUUUGGUGUCUUGGGGUAGGGACUGUGAGAGCCUCACAAGGAGAGAGAAGAGAUUGGCCCCUGGAACUGAGAAGAGGGGAAAUAUCAGGUCCCAGGGGGCUGGGGCCUAGACGCUGCCCUUGUCAAGUCCUCAGAGAGGGCAGCUGAUCAGUGUCAUUAGGAAGGCUGGACCCCAAGCCCAGGAGAACUUCCUUUGAAAAAGACUCCUCUGUUCCAAGUAGCAAGGGCACUGGACCUGAAGGGCCUGUGUGGCCGGACAAGGGAACACCUCAGCAGUGAUCAGCCAGAACCAAAGAGCAAUGACUUUGCCUGGAAGGGCGAUAGUGACACAACCCCUGGGUGGAGGGGCAGGCAUUCCACAAUCAGAGAUCAAUUUUCUGCCAGCUCAGUAGAAUGGGGGCUCUGGGCAGCCUGAAGCUAAUUUAAACAAAACCAAGAAGUGUGUUUCCUUCACCUCAGCAUUGGACGACUAACAUUCACAGCUCCAACAACAGUCAUCAGGACACAGAGGGUCUGGGAGUGCUCAGCAUGGGAAUUCGGGAGUGAAGCCAAGGCAUGUGGGCAAAGCCCAGACAAUCUCAGACUUGGCGGGCCUGCCUCCUGGGGAGCUCAACCUGUGAUGCUCUGAACAAAUCAUCUGAUGGCUUUUUAGAAAGGACGAAGGAUCUUUGGGAAAUUGGACACCGAACAAGGAAGGCCUGCUGGGGUGGAAACAUCACGCAUGAGUUAAAGGAGAACAAUGGGCGCUGGAGAGCUGAAGAAGCCCUGAGUGUGGUGGCUGUAUUGUGGUUCCUGAGCUUCCUCCAGGCAAGAUCUGAUCACACAUUACACCCAGCAGGGCUGAUGGAGACAUUUAUCACUUCCUCCCUCAACAAAAGGUGCUAAUCAAAGAAACUUUUGCUCUCAGGGGCCAGUUGGCCCCUGUGCUGACUACAGCAAGAGCUAUGCGGACUCUGGUUACUUACUUGUCCUUUCAGAAUGGGACUGUGUCCUUAUGCCUACAAGCCCCAGCCCCUCCCAGUACACACACAGGUGCUCAAUUGCGUUCUUCCUUGGGCAUCUCUGAGUAGCAUUGCUUAUUCUCGACUUAUCCUCCUUGACCAAAAAGCAAAGGGAUCCCCUGAGGUUCCAGAUUUUGGAGAUCGGAGACUGUCUAGAUUGAGCUAGACCAAUGUUGCUCAAGCUGUUUUCAUUAUCACUCCCUAAGGAGCCUUGACAGGUAUUUUUUCCCCUAAUCACCCUUCUUCCCAUGGCAUUAUUAUGUAUCAGUAUUUCUCAGAUAUUACAAUGGUUUGUGUCCCUAAGUUUUUUGUCCCUACACUCCGUCCCCUCAAGAAACGAUUUUCACCUCCUUGGGAGCAAUACUACCUAUUGAGAAUACAUGAGAUAGAAUCAGUCCCCCACCCUGGCAUUCUCUUCCUUUGGGUGGUGACUGUUGACAUCCUGCCCCGACACUGCAUGUCAUGUUCAUGGUUGAAUAUAAACUCCCAUCUAUCUCUCACAGUGGAACCUAAAGCCUAAAGCGAUUUCCCUCCCAGGUGAUAAUGACCCAAGAGAAACUGAGUGCCUUUGUCCACCAAAAGACCAGUUCAAGAACAUUCAUAGCAGCUUUAUUGAUAAAAGCCGAAAACUGGAAACAAUUUAAGUGAUCUUCGAUAAAAGAAUCAUGAUAUGUUUACACAAUGGAAUACUAUCAGCAAUAAAAAGGAACAAACUAUUGCCA